rnacentral:rRNA from 1 species
GAUCAUGGCUCAGGAUGAACGCUAGCUACAGGCUUAACACAUGCAAGUCGAGGGGCAGCAUGGUCUUAGCUUGCUAAGGCCGAUGGCGACCGGCGCACGGGUGAGUAACACGUAUCCAACCUGUCGUCUACUCUUGGACAGCCUUCUGAAAGGAAGAUUAAUACAAGAUGGCAUCAUGAGUCCGCAUGUCCACAUGAUUAAAGGUAUUCCGGUAGACGAUGGGGA